rnacentral:rRNA from 1 species
AUGUGCCAGAGCACGUACACGGCCAAGAUUCUGGAUGCUGCUGGGAUGAGGGGGUGCAAUCCCUCUGACACGCCGAUGCAGAAUCGGUCAAAGCUUGGCAAGACCGGCGAUGGCGAAGCCGUGGACGCCAUACGGUACAGGAGCAUCGUCAGGAGUCUUCUGUACCUCUGCAACACGAGACCAGAUAUCUCGUUCUCUGUUGGCAUGGUAAGCAGGAAGUUGGAGGUGUCGACGGUGGCGCACUGGGCCGCCGUCAAGCAGAUCCUACGCUAUGUCAGCGGGACGCUGAACCAUGGUUGCUGCUACAAGCAAGGCGGUGAAGCAGCGCCGGAAGUGAUCUCUAUAGCAACAACAAUCACGCCAGAGAUGUUGACGAUCGACGGAGCACGAUGGAAGUGA